UAGUGAUGAGGUCAUGGGCUCCAAAAUAUGGCCAUGGUAUGAAGGUGGCAGCACAAAUUUUUAAACAACAUUUCAGCACCACACCACAUUGCUGAGAAGGAAGCCUGUGUAAUCUCGUCUUCAAAAAGCAGUCCCUCAGUGAGCUCAUCUGCUCUCAGGGAUUCAUCCAUUGCUGCUGUGCAGAUGCUUCAAAGCCUAACCACAUGAACAAUCGGUUUCCAGCCAUUUACUGCCUGAUGAAAGGGAACAAAAGGGAACACAGGGUGCUUGCUCUGUAUGGGUGUCUUCAGAGCAAAACCACAGUACAGGCUCUUGCCCAUGCCUUUCUCUCUCUGCUUCUGCUUCUGACUGACCCUGGUGUUUCUCUGGGUUGUCAUGUGUGACCCCAUCCUUGGGAACUGUCCUCACCAGAAGCAGAUGCUGAUGCCACACUUCUUGUACAACCUGCAGAACUAUGAGCCAAAUAAACCUCUUUUCUUUAUAAAUUA